UAUAUUGGACCUGGUUAGGGGUGAUGCAGUCCAGUUCUUACCGAGUUGGCAGAACAAGGAGUUCAUUUAUUUUGCCCUCUUCUUGAAAGACCAAUUGCAUUGGGUAGCUGUAGAGGUAGACCUGAAUGGGUGGAUGUUCAACAUCUUUGACUCCAGUAUUGGAUCAAUUUCCGAAAACGAUUUGAUCAGUUUGAUGGUUGACUGGUGUACCAUUUUCCCGUCGGUCUUGCGAUAGUCUGGUUUAUUUGAGAACCAUGACGUUAUACUCGCGCCUCAGUUGACAGCAUCAGAGAGCCAGUGGCGAUUGCGGAUGUUACGUAAUUGAGCAUAUUGAACAUAAGCUUCUACAACUACCAUUUGAUAAUGUAACUGACAAUAAUAUGAAAAUUUUUAGGCAAAGGUGGUGUGUAGACUUAUUCUACCAAAACUUAUGUUGAACGGUCUUAAUUUUUUUGAAUUGUAUAAUUUUUUU